UACAAUAAAGCUCUAAAACC
rnacentral:piRNA from 1 species